UCAUAGCUCCAACACAGCACUAUUGGCUCUGACAAACACCAGGUACUCAAAAAAUCAUUUACCUUAAUUUUAUAUGGCGCCAUUCAGAGUACCAACACGACAAUAUAAGCUCUAACAAAUACCAGGUACUCAAUACAUCAUAUGCCUUAAUUCUAUACAGCGCCAUUCAUAGUAGCAACACAUCAUUAUACGCCCUGACAAACACCAGGUUUUCCACACAUCAUUAACUUAAUUCUAUAUAGUGCCAUUCACAGUACCAACACAGCACUAUAGGCUCUGACAAAUGCCAGGUACUCAAUACAUCAUUUGCCUUAAUUCUAUAUAGCGUCAUUCACAGUACCAACAUAGCACUGUAGGCUCUGACAAAUACUAGGGUUUUCAUACAUCAUUACCUUAAUUCUAUAUAGCGCCAUUCAUUGUUCUAAUACAGCACUAUAGGCUCUG